AAUACAUGAUAAAAUAAUCCAAAGACAGUAGGUACAUUAAGUAUAAGGGAAACCGCCUACCGAGGAUGAGCUUCAAUACUGAAACAGUGUUAUUAUGCUCCUUCGUCGGUUUUCGCGGAGGAGCUUAUUUUAUGUAUAC
rfam:Clostridiales bacterium GWF2_38_85 gwf2_scaffold_17, whole genome shotgun sequence.